CCUUGAGAACAAUCCUUACAAUAUUUUUCGGAAGUUACGUGGGUUUUUUAUGCGGAUUUCCGAAGUUAUCCAUAUUGUUAGGGUUCUCAAAGAACAUGAAUAAGCCGGAAGUCGCCAUUUUUGAUUUUGGAACUACCUCAAACAUAGUUUUUUUUGGCUCCUACACAUCAAGUCGCCAUCUCGAAUUUCAGAUCGUUCUAAAACAUUGUUUUUCGGUACCUACACAUCAAAUCCGUUACGGAAAUACCCAUAAGGAAUGAUAAUAAACCUGAAGUCAUAAUUAAGAAUUUUUGACGACCCCGAAAUUAGUUUUCCGACUCUUAGUCAUUAAAUCCAUUCCAAAAAUAUCCAUAUGAUUAGAUUUUCAAACGUUCACUGCCCAAACUUAUUCUUCGAAGUAAAUUCUCAAUAAUGUAAACUUUUUUUUUCGAAACUCCGUUUAGUUUGUAAAUGGAGAUUUCGGUGUAACACUUUUUUCGACCAUAAUUGAUUUCAAUGGCAGAAAAGGUAAUGCUCAUGAUUUGGAUCCUUUUGUUCAUAAAAUUAAGAAUUUUUUUAUGAUUCUAUGAGAAGAUAAAAUGAUUAGUCCAGUUUUUUUCCAAUCAUUAAAAUGGUAACGUAUUUCGUUCCGUGUAGAUUACUAUCAUAAUUUCUAUAUCAACAUAUUCUACAAGAAAAAAAUAAUUUAGGCAUAAUUCAAUGGUCGAGAAAUACGAAAUUAUGAUCACUUGAAUACGUCUUACUUUACUAUGGAUCGCCAUUUCAUAAUUUACUCUGUGCAAGAAUGGGCAGAAUUUAAUCGUAUCUAUUGUUGUAUUUAUGUCAGCAACGUAUUUCUGUAUCUCUACCAUUGAAAGUAUGUUCAGAAAUUGAUUAUAAAAUUUUUCAGUAAUAUGAGAUAACCACAAAUAACUCAGAAUUGCAAUUUUCUGAAUUGUUUGGUAUAAACGAGCAUUAGGGUGAAAUUCAGUGCCAACACGACGCGCGAUGUUGAUCUGUCAGGCCGUGUGCCAUCGAACGGAAUAGGUGAAAGUCAGAAGGGACGAGAUCUGUGGAAUACGGCGGGUGGGGCAAGACUUCCCAUUUCAGUGUUUCCAGGUACUUUUUGACCACUUUUGCGACGUGAGGCCGACCAUUGUCGUGUUGAAUGCGCGACUAAGGCGCAUCAGUUGCGUUCGGUAGCGAUCUCCUGUGAUGGUUUCAUUCGGUUAAAAGAGCUCGUAGUAAAUCACACCGAGCUGAUCCCACCAAAUACAAAUUAUAACCUUGGCGCCGUGAAUAUUCGGUUUUGCCUUCGACGAAGUAGCAUGCCCGGGCUUUCGCAAUGAUUUUCUGCGUUUACGAUUAUCGUAUCGAACCCACUUUUUAUCACCGGUUACGAUUCGAUGUAAAAACCCCUUACGGUUUUGUCUUUGAAGCAGUUUCUCACAUACAUAUAUAAUAGAUUAGAUGUAAUAGACGGCGCUCGAUGUCCCUCGGUUUCAACUCGUACGGCACCCAGUUUCCUUCUUUCUGAAUCAUGCCCAGGGCCUUGAGACGUUUUGAAAUGGUUUGCCGACUCACUCCCAACGAUUCGGCAAGCUCUUCUUGGGUUUGGCAUGAAUCUUCAUCAAGCAAUGCUGCUAGUUGUUCAUCUUUGAAGGUUUUUUCUCUUUCACCGCCAUGUUUGACUUCGACAUCGAAAUCACCAUUUUUAAAACGUUGAAACCACUCCCGACACGUUAUUUUACUCAGAGCAGCAUCACUGAAAGUUUCUGAAAGUAUUCGAUGCGCUUCAGCUGCAUUUUUUUCGAAUUGUAACAGAAAAGUAAAACUUCCCGCAAAUGGCGAGAAUUGGGCACAUAAACAGACAUUUUCGAGCGUGAAUAAUACGAAAACAAGAACAACUGUCACUGAAACGGCGAUGACAAUUCGUUAGGCACUGUAUACACUCACUUUAAAGGCAUUAUCAUCUAGGGUAAGGGCUCUCUAUUUCAUCUCAUUUGUAAGGACGUCGCCUUCAAACCCCGAUUUAGCCACUAAAAUCACUGUAACUAUUCCAUAUUACUGCUUCAUUCGCCUUGCUCUACGUUGAGAAUUGAUUCACAUUUCUUGAAAAUUCAAAUAAUAUUUAUAAAACAGCUAAAAACACUAAUGAUGUUUUCACUACUCUGCUCCUAAUUUCAUCUCAAUGGAUUUUUAUCCAUCCUAUCGUUGAUCUUUUAUUCAUCCUAUAAAUUAGCAAUGGCGACAGCAAUCAAAACAAAAUAUUCCACUAUUACUAUCUCACCCGCAUACGCAUGGCUGCCAGAUGGCUGACGAAACGCUGCCAGCUGGAAAAAUAUGGCUGGGCAGACAUUCUGGUGACCGACUGCCUCACCGCUGCCAGAUAUACAACUCAAACGAUACAACCGUACCCACCAGAAUUUUUCCACAUUAUUAUUAUUGGUAAAAAAUUUACACGUUGAAUUAUCUAAUUAUUGGGGCACGGUGAUCGAAAGAAUUAUCUUUUAACAUUACUUUAUUAGUGAAAACAGAUAGAACAGAUAUUGACUUUCUAUGCAAAGUAAUUCAUAUUUUCUAUGAAAAUAUCUGGCAACUCUGUGCACAGCCGAUGAAACACACACACACACACACACACACACACACACACACACACACACACACACACACACACACACACACACACACACUUCACAGCGUUAUGUUGGCGUAUAGCGGAAUGAAACCAGUGCUGCUAGAUUUGCCACAAUGGUUAUUUCAUUAGUAUUUAACACGUUCUUUCUGGUAAUAUGCGAAGCUGAAACAGUUUUAUUGAAAUAUUAAUAUCAAUAAUAUAAUUAAACUAAUGUCACGGAUACCAAAAACAUACUUUUUUAAGAUAAUUUGAAGAAGAUAAACAAUUUUUGUUUUGUAACAUUAUGAGAUAACUUGGCAACUUUGCGAAACCACAUGAGAUGAAAACAAAGCGCAAUCAAGUGAACGAAGUGAAAAAUUUUCAUCUCAUAUUUUUGAAGACUUUUAUUGCUUGUCGGGUAAUUUUUUAAGUUUUUAAUCGUUAACUAAACAAGUGGCUAGUGAUUCUCUGCGGAGAAAACAGAGCUGGUCGUCUUUCACGAAAGCAUGAUCCCGCGCAGCUUCAGCUUCAUAUGAUGGGAAGAAUGAUCCAACAGGUUUUGACUUUCAAAUACCUUGGGGUGUGGUUUGAUUCCAAAUGCACGUGGGGAGGACAUAUUAGGUUUCUGAUAACAAAAUGCCAACAAAGAGUAAAUUUUCUUCGAACAAUAACAGGAUCUUGGUGGGGUGCUCAUUCGGAAGAUCUAAUAAAAUUGUAUUAGACAUCGAUACUUUCAGUGAUGGAAUAUGGAUGCGUUUGCUUUCGUUCCGCUGCAAACUCUCAUAUUAUCAAAUUAGAGCGAAUUCAAUAUCGUUGUUUGCGAAUUGCUUUAGGGUGCAUGCAUUCGACACAUACAAUAAGUCUUGAAGUUCUGGCGGGAGUUCUUCCAUUGAAAGAUCGUUUUUGGGAGCUUUCAUCGCGACUGCUAAUAAGAUGUGAGGUACUGAAUCCCCUGGUUAUUAAUAACUUCGAAAGGCUAGUUGAGCUUCAAUCUCAAACAAGAUUCAUGAGAGUAUAUUUUAACCAUAUGUCACAGCAAAUCAACCCUUCAAGAUAUAUUCCUAUCCGUGUCAGCAUCCUAAAUGUCCCUGACUCAACUUUAUUUUUCGACACAUCCAUACAGCGCGAAGUGCGUGGAAUCCCGGAACACCUACGCUCGUUGGAAAUCCCAAUAAUAUUUACAAGUAAGUUCGGGCAUAUUGACUCUGCGAAAAUCUUUUACACGGACGGAUCACGAAUUGAAGAGGCUACUGGGUUUGAUAUAUUCAACGAUAAUGUUUCGGUCUCAUUUAAGCUUCAAGAACCUGCAUCUGUUUAUAUAGCAGAGUUAGCAGCAGUUCAUUAUAGUUUGAGUGUAAUCGUCACAUUACCUCCAAACCAUUAUUUUCUUUUCACAGAUAGUCUGAGUGCAAUUAAAGCUAUUCGCUCAAACGCUGCUUGCAAAAAUGAACCUUUUUUCUUGGGCAAAAUAAAACAGUGCCUGAACGUCAUAUUGAAUAAUAAUUAUCAAAUCACAAUAGUUUGGGUACCGGCUCAUUGCUCCAUUCCAGGCAAUGAAAGAGCCGAUAUUUUAGCCAAACGUGGUGCUAUUGAGGGUGAAAUUUAUGAGAGACCGAUUGCUUUCAACGAAUUCUAUAGCGCGUCUCGCCAAAGAACACUUGCCAGCUGGCAAGCUUCUUGGGAUAAAGAUGAUCUGGGUCGGUGGAUGCACUCAAUUAUUCCUAAUAUAUCGACAAAGGCAUGGUUCAGGGGACUGGAUGUGAGUAGAGAUUUCAUUCGUGUGAUGUCCAGACUCAUGUCCAAUCACUACACGUUAGAUGCACAUCUCCUUCGAAUUGGACUUUCCGAGACUAAUCAUUGUGCUUGCGGCGAAGGUUACCGCGAUAUUGACCAUGUUGUUUGGACAUGCGUGGAGUUUCAUGAUGUCAGAUCCCAACUAAUAAAUUCCUUGCGUACCCAAGGUAUACUAUCCAAUGUUCCAGUUCGCGACAUUCUUGCUUGUCGUGACCUUCCAUACAUGAAACUUCUUUAUCAUUUCAUUAAAUCCAUUGGAGUUCCAAUUUAAAUUUUAUUUUAUGUUAGACUGUUUUCUCUUCCAUGAGUUCAACCAAUAGCCAACUAUAGGAUAUUGAAUAUAAGUGGUGAACUGAUACAAACAAUCCUGAAAUAGUUAUAAGAUCAUGUACAAAAUAAAUGUAUUUUAUUUAAUGUAAUUUAAAAUAGCAACUCGCUUGAUAAAAACAGUGUUUAGAUUAACUAAUGAGUACCAACAUACUAAUAUGAUAUUCGAAAUGUAUUAGGUUUAAACUACUAUGUAUUGUGGAUGCCACGGCGAAGAAAAACUUAUGUAUAUUGCCUAUGAAAUAAACGUAUUUAUGAAAAAAAAAGUGGCAAGUGAACAUAACUAAUUAUGAAGUCAUCCAGCAUUCAAUGGUAGUGUAAUUGUGCGAAAUAGUUAUCAUGUUUUGAGACGAAUCGAUUAGUAGAUAUUCAGAAACAUGACGAACUGUAAAUCUUGAGACGAAAAUGUGUCCUAAAUUGAAAAGUGAGUUUAUUUUAUAUGAAAAAAACGAUCACCGAAGAAUUUAAUACCAUUUCUUUCAAUAGGAAAGUGUGACAAUAGAUUUUCAAAUCAUUUUAAAACAUUUCACAGUUUGCUUCCGGUAGGUUGUAAAAUAUUAUUCAUGUUCAAAGUUAUGAGGUGAAGAGAUGAGAUGGAAAUAGGAGCUCAGAUGAAAUAGAGAGCCGUUGCCCUAUGUAUUUUGACGGAAAACAACGGAAGCAAAGUUGUACACCUGAUAUUAAAAUUGAUCAUUGGUUAUAUUAGUUGAUCUGGGCAGCCAGCUACCGAGAAAAAUAUUAAUUUAUUGUUUGAAAUAUUAAUAUCAAGUGUUUUUUUUUACUAUGUAUUCAAUAUACCGAUAUAUGUCAUUAACUUUGUAAUAUUCACGGAUUUGCGCAAAAGUUGAUUUUUAUCAUUCAAUUUAUAAUCCUGAAAGACAAUCAAUAACAUGGAAGAAGAAAACAUUUCAAAUAAAACUUUUCUCCGAAGCUAGACGGAAAUUGAUAGGUUGAAUGAAGAGAUAAUUUAGUAAAAUAGAGUGAUCAGAAGUGAAACAUUGAAAAUACCUGAAAAAGAAAUUCCUGCAAUUGGCGCCUUUUACGACAUGGAAGCAGGAACCCAGUGGAUCUAUUCUUGGUUCAUUUUUUCCGCCGGAUUCCACACGGCAUCUAGGCUGGUACUGUCCGGAGAGAGCUAAUAGGUACUAUCAAUCUCCUAGUGGACUCCAGCUCCUAAUAAUAAAACCUCUACCUCCAGCAGGCAUAAAACUUACAUUUAAAAAAGUUCCGAAAAUAGUUUUAAAGAUUUCUGUUGCAUAAUACUACUACAUUGAUACACUACAUUUAAAUUUAAGUUAGUGAAAAUCUAUUCAAUCAUAUGUGAGAAAGUAAAGUUAGCUCCAUUUUAUCAUAUUGUAUUAUUAUUGCCGGUACUUCCGGAACCGAAAGCUGGAUAUCGGUAUAGUGACAUUUGGUUCAUUCAACCAUAUACUAAUAUGACCUACACAUUUUUUUACGAUUCUCUAUGACGAUUUGAAUUUUGGGAAAAAUGUAUAGGUAGUCGGACUUGGAUAAAAUUUAGCAAAUCAUUUAUGGUUUAUUUGGUAACCGAGUCUCAUGGUCUGCAAACUAUAGAAAGUCACUAGCCAAUAUAAAGAGGUAGCUUAUCAACAAAGUAAUCGUGAAAUUGACGUUUUCAUACUGAGCACCCUAUCUCCGGAAUCUCAGGGGUUUGAACCGAAUGAAAAUUGGGAUAUUCUUAUGGCAUCUUAAGAAUUUCCAUCUCCGAGAAAAGUAAGUGACAUUUUUUGUGCAUAUCACCCUGUAAUUCCGGAACUGGAACUGGAGACCUUUUAUACCUUUGUGAAAAUCGGUUAAGCCAUCUCCAAGAAAAGUGAGUGACAAUAUUUGUCACACACACACAGACAUUUGCUCAGCUCGUCGAGCUGAGUCGAAUGGUAUAUGACAUUCGAUCCUCCGGGCCUCGGUUCAAAAGUCGGUUUUCGCAGUGAUUGUAUAGCCUUUCUAUAUGAGAAAGGCAAAACUGAUUAAUAUUCGAAUAAGUUUUUUUUUGUGGAAUUACAACUGGUUUGUUGUUUAUCUAGUUUGUGAAUUGCGUAUGAUUUCGGUAUAUGAAACUGAUAUACACUGCUAUUUGCUUCAGAUACAACAAUUUAACAAAUGUGUUUUUACCCUUCCCAAAAGUUACCCACGAAAAUACAAAAAUACGAGUUUUGUGUUAUAAAUUGAAAAUAUUUGGUUUCAUUUGAUGUUUUGACAUGUUAUACGUCGGACGUUAUCACCAUUUUAUUCAUCGUUUUAUGGAAAAUUCAAUUAUUCCAACAUUUUUGUAGCAAUUCUACAAGUAAAGCACUAAAAGUUUGCAAAAUCUAGACCAUCAAUGAACUAGUAACACGUGCGAUUAUCGAUACUCGGAAGUGUAGAAAAAUCAUGUCAGUUCUAUUCGUAUUCACGCCAUCCAGUUCGGUCUCUGACAUUACCCAUCCGUCUUUUGUAAAAUUUGGUCGAAUUUCAAUUUUCAAUCUAAUAGAAUGGGACUGGUUCCCGCUACUUGAAAACGCUCUGCGUUCAUGAUUCUUAUUCAUAUUCGAUGAAUAUGAUAAAAUACUAAAGUGGAAAAGAUUCUCACCAUUUUCCAUCCUAUUAAUCAUCAGAACUCUUGGAUUGCUUUUGUUUCCAGUUGCUUCCGACUUGUUCCCCUAUUGAUUAGCAUAUCCGCUUGCAUCCGUUUCUUCAACGGUCAUAUGCAUUAUUCGCAGUGGCAGGCAGGUCAGAAAAAUGGCGAAAAAUUCCAGCUUUGCUGCCGUCAGUUCGUGUGGGUGCCGGAGAAGUAUGGAAUACAUCUCGGGUGAUUGGAAUAACAACUUUUCCACAGCGCGGGGCCAGUGACUAAAACAAAUCUGCAUCUUGCUAAAGCACAAACUACCUUCGUACGUACCUUCGGUUCGGUUCAGCAUACUUACCGGUGCGCUCAGCCUAGCGUGCAGGAACUGCUGUACAACCUUUUAGUUUAGAUUGAACGCCCCAGGACCAGUUUCCGAUUAGGGCGACACCGGAACGCCGGACGACGCUGGGGGGUGGGGGAAUAAAAAAAAGACGCCCGGUGUAUUACGUUUCCCGAAGGUGUUGAUUGCCGGCGACAAAAUUAGUCGCCGGUUGGAUGAGGUAUGUGUGUGUGUGUUCGAGUGCUUUUGUUGGGAUUUAUAUGAAUAAUAAGAUAUGGAGAACUGUUCGGAACUGGCACUUAGGGAAUUGUAUGGAAAUGCAUUGAAAGGAAGCUGGCUUGAUUGGAGACAACAUAUUUCUGUUUACUGUUUUUUUUUUGUCUUGCUGAAUAUGAAAAUUUCUCAGUCGGAUGCGGAUGGAAAUUCAGCUAUUCGGAAAGUCACAAUAGCACACUCACCUAAGUUCAGCUCGCCUACCUGCGUACCAAACCACCAUCCCUAGUCGUGUUUCCUUGAUCGGUCGAAAACGGUCCCCUCUCCAGCAUUGAUCUAAUCAAUCAAAAUCGAUGGCUAUCCGUUGAAGUGAUUGGGUAUUCGAAUGAAUGAGAAAGCAAGUGUAAUAUUAAGAAACGUCCGUCUGCACGGAAUGUUUGGUGGUUUCACCAUCAUCAUGACAUGCAAUCCAGCUGCAUUGCCCUGGAAUUUGGAGCUCUGGUGAAAGAUAUCCAGCACGUGGCACGUGAACCUAAAUUUCAUUUGAUUAAUCGACUUCGGUUGGUUCCAACGAAUGUGUUCCCGAAACCCGACGGUAUUUAUCUGCCCUUGGGGAAUCGCGUUUGCCCCUGAUUAAAUGAAAUCAUAAGGUAUCGUUUCUUCUGGUUUGCUUUGAUUUUUAGAUUGUUUAAUGUUCUAAUUAUGUUAAUGAAUUGAUGAGAAUAUUUUUGAAAAGUUGAAAACUUGUUUUUUUGCUUUGCAGUAGCGGUAUAUUUAAUUGACAAACAAAAAUGGAUAGUUAAAAAAAAGUUUGUACGAUCAUCGGAAGCCUCUGUCAAUAUUUUAGCCUACAGUUCUGAAACUCAAUUGUGUCAUUUCUCUUUUCUAUUUCAGGUAACUAUAUUUUACAGCUUGAAUACUGUGUUACUAGCUAACGAAGUUUGUGUUGAUACUAACAGAUUAGCUAGCCAGUCAUUCUAUUAAACACCAUAUCCACACUUUAAAAAAAACUACCCACAAUUUGUAACAUAAACAUCUAAUCGAAUCGUUUUCACUACAUGCGGCCUUGUGCUUCACGAAAUCGAAGGUAAAUCAAGCAAUAACAAAGACAUCUGUGGCGACGACAAACACAAAGAGGAUGGAGACCCGUGGAACGUCGAGGCACAGGCGGCGUUUCUGGGACCGAACCUGUGGGACAAAACGCUACCCUACGACUCUGAUCUCA